ensembl:snRNA U2 U2 spliceosomal RNA
AUCGCUUCUCAGUCUUUUGGCUAAGAUCAAGUGUAGUAUCUCUUCUUACUAGUUUAAUAUCUGGGUGAUGAAAUAAUCUGUACAACAAACCCCCA